rnacentral:rRNA from 1 species
UACGUAGGAUCCGAGCGUUGUCCGGAUUUACUGGGUGUAAAGGGUGCGCAGGCGGAAUGGUAAGUCAGUGGUGAAAUCUCGUCGCUUAACGACGAAACUGCCUUUGAUACUAUCAUUCUUGAAUCCGGUAGAGAUCUGUGGAAUUCCGAGUGUAGCAGUGAAAUGUGUAGAUAUUCGGAAGAACACCAGUGGCGAAGGCAGCAGAUUGGGCCGGUAUUGACGCUCAGGCACGAAAGCCAGGGGAGCAAACGGG